rnacentral:lncRNA from 1 species
CAGCAACUCGGCCGGGUUUUGCCUAUAGUUUUCAGCUCUCUCAUCGUCCCUUUGGCUCCGAUAUGGCCAUACAAAACUUGAGAUCACAUUUCGAGCGAAAAUGAGAAAUUUUUACCUCUCUCGAUGGUCGGCGGUGACUCAGGUGCAGCGACAACAAUGUCCCUCUAGCAGCUGGUGUUCUCUCCAGCUGCCCUCCUUUUUUUUCUUCUCCGAUUAGAUGUCGACUAGGGUUUUGGGGCCGAUUAAAAAGAGGUUUAAAUACCUCUCUUCUUUUUUAUCAUGGUCGUUCAUCCGCGUCGACGUGAAGUAAGGAGAGGUGUCUGAUCGUUGCCUAUUUAGGCCAAUUGUGUGGGCAAUUCUAGGUCGUCCAUUGCGAUCAAUCUCAUAUAUUUGAUUGCGUCUGAAAAAGAAAUGCAUCUGGGCUGUUCGCGCGUGUGGAAUGCGAUUUGAGCCGUCGGAUCGCCCAGGCAUGCGAAUCACCCGCGUGGAGCCGAUGUCAGCUUGUCUGCCACGUGGUGUGUUUUGACUCGUCGUGGCUACUGACCGGGCCGUCCCACGUGGCGAAACUUUUUCUUUUUGUGAUUUUACCUCAUGUUUUUAAAUUUUCUUUCAAAAAUACACU